CCCUUAGAUGUUCUGGGCCGCACGCGCGCUACACUGAUGCAUUCAACGAGCCUAUCCUUGACCGACAGGUCCGGGUAAUCUUUGAAUCUGCAUCGCGACGGGGAUAGAUUAUUGCAAUUAUUAAUCUUCAACGAGGAAUGCCUAGUAGGCGCAAGUCAUCAGCUUGCGUCGAUUACGUCCCUGCCCUUUGUACACACCGCCCGUCGCUACUACUGAUUGGGUGUUCAAGUGAGAUGCUUAGACCCUUGUUGCAUGGUUCAUUAUUGUGCUCCGAAAGGAAAAAGUUUCAAGCUUGAGUGUCUAGAGGAAGUAAAAGUCGUAACA
rnacentral:rRNA from 1 species